rnacentral:rRNA from 1 species
CACGUAGGGGGCGAGCGUUGUUCGGAUUCAUUGGGCGUAAAGGGUGCGUAGGCGGCGCGGUAAGUCGGGUGUGAAAUCUCGGAGCUUAACUCCGAAACUGCAUUCGAUACUGCCGUGCUUGAGGACUGGAGAGGAGACUGGAAUUUACGGUGUAGCGGUGAAAUGCGUAGAUAUCGUAAGGAAGACCAGUGGCGAAGGCGGGUCUCUGGACAGUUCCUGACGCUGAGGCACGAAGGCCAGGGGAGCAAACGGG